GGAAAAAUCCUUUGAGCAAAGGCACCGUGCCUCGGAAGACCUAAUCACGGCCAUUAUUAGAGCAUUAUUUCACUUCAGCAAGCAUCCAGUCUGAUGGAGGGAAAUACUGGCUCUCCGAAAUGAAAAUACAACAUGAGCCUUGGAAACGAGAGGCAGAAUCAAAGCCACGGGAGAACUGUGGAGCCAAGAGAGAACAGCUGAGGGCUUGUACUGCCGACCGACUCCAUCUCCACCCCGCUCUUCCUCCAGAUGUCCCCACUUUCCACAAAGCUAACCUCAGCCCCCAUUUUUUGCCACAGGGAGUCAUUUCCGGUCAUUGCUGCCGUGGCCCCAUCUGAUGCUGCUAACGGUCAUUACACCCCCCGGCUUGGUCUCGGUCAUCACUCCUGUUAUCUCCUUGGCAGAACGAUUUACCAUUAGCACAAGGCAAGGGAAAAGAACCAAUGUUGGUUUACAUUCAGCUGCCCUCAGAGCGGGGCCGGUGCUCAGUCUCUUCAGGCGGACGGAGAGAAUCGAGCAACCGGAGCCGAACGCGGGCUGCUCGACUGCCAAGGUAUUGCACAGGCAUAUGUCAUGAUUUAUAAAGGCCACAAUCCUCAAGAAUGUGGUUACGUUGUGGGAUGCAUUUUUCCACAGAGGCACAAUCAAUUAGGGUCGGUUUCAGAACCAGCCUCGACCUGGCAGCUGAGCAUUACAGAUGACUACAGACUACAGAAGCUGAUGAACGCCUGAAAAAUGAAAUAAACAAACAUGAGCGAUCUGUGGAAGUUCUUCAAUUUAUAGACCGCCACCAAACCUGGGACUUCUUCGACUUAUACGAGGACCUAGGACGUCUUGUGGGCAUUCUACUUUGAUAAACCUUGACACAUAAAAGCCUUCAAAAAAC